ACUCCUACGGGAGGCAGCAGUGGGGAAUUUUGGACAAUGGGCGAAAGCCUGAUCCAGCAAUGCCGCGUGUGUGAAGAAGGCCUUCGGGUUGUAAAGCACUUUUGUCCGGAAAGAAAUCCUUGGCUCUAAUACAGUCGGGGGAUGACGGUACCGGAAGAAUAAGCACCGGCUAACUACGUGCCAGCAGCCGCGGUAAUACGUAGGGUGCGAGCGUUAAUCGGAAUUACUGGGCGUAAAGCGUGCGCAGGCGGUUUGCUAAGACCGAUGUGAAAUCCCCGGGCUCAACCUGGGAACUGCAUUGGUGACUGGCAGGCUAGAGUAUGGCAGAGGGGGGUAGAAUUCCACGUGUAGCAGUGAAAUGCGUAGAGAUGUGGAGGAAUACCGAUGGCGAAGGCAGCCCCCUGGGCCAAUACUGACGCUCAUGCACGAAAGCGUGGGGAGCAAACAGGAUUAGAUACCCGUGUAGUCC
rnacentral:rRNA from 1 species